rnacentral:rRNA from 1 species
UGGGGAAUAUUGCGCAAUGGGGGAAACCCUGACGCAGCGACGCCGUGUGAGGGAAGAAGGCCUUCGGGUCGUAAACCUCUGUCGGGAGGGAAGAACCGCCGGUUUCCGAACAGGGAGCCGGUCUGACGGUACCUCCGAAGGAAGCGCCGGCUAACUCCGUGCCAGCAGCCGCGGUAAUACGGAGGGCGCGAGCGUUAAUCGGAAUCACUGGGCGUAAAGCGCGCGUAGGCGGCCUUUUAAGUCGGACGUGAAAGCCCUCGGCUCAACCGGGGAAUUGCGUUCGAUACUGGGAGGCUUGAGUCCUGGAGAGGGUGGCGGAAUUCCGGGUGUAGGAGUGAAAUCCGUAGAUAUCCGGAGGAACACCGGUGGCGAAGGCGGCCACCUGGACAGGUACUGACGCUG